rnacentral:rRNA from 1 species
UGCGAUACUUGGUGUGAAUUGCAGAAUCCCGUGANCCAUNGAGUUUUUGAACGCAAGUUGCGCCCGAAGCCUUAGGGCCUAGGGCACGAAUGCCUUGGCGUCACGCA